AAGACUGACCGUUUGGAACUGGAUAAACUUCUUCUUAUCCCUGGAGAAGACCAAUUCUCCCUCUCUGUCAGAAGAGCUCAAUUACCUAUAUCGCUUCAUCAAGAGAUGUAUAAAAGAUAAUGACGAUGACGUCUCACAAGUAUUGUCAGCUUGAAAGAAUUACAGCUCAAUUUUUGAAGAUAGAUGAAGAUGCCCCCCAAAAGAAGUUAGAUUCAUGAAGAUAAUACCUGAUUUCUUUCAUGUAGGUUUCCACUGAAUUACUCAACAUCGAUCCAGCCAAAAUCCCAUGAAAAGGAAGACCCCCUUCACCAGUACAGUUAGAUAAGGACUGGUGAAACACUGAGAUUCCCACUGCACCGAACAAAUAGAAGAGAGAGGAAGAAACUUGCCCCCUCAUCCCAAGCUUACCUGGGAAGAAGUGGCCACUUGGUAGUUGGCCUCUUCAGUGUUGAAGAUGUGAUCCCAUGAUCACAUCUACUGUGAUGUAGUACAUGCUGGUAUUGACAGACUGUUGUGAAUUGGGGUCUUGUGGAAGAUUUAGAUCAUUGGCGGCAGGACUCUGAAGGGCAUUUUAGGACCCUGGUCCCUCCUUGCUCUCUUCUGUUCCCUACGUGAUGUUGUACACAACUUCUACUCGGCUGGACACCCCUGCCAGGCUGUGAUUCCACACCACAGUUCUACUCGGCUGGACACCCCUGCCAGGCUGUGAUUCCACACCACAGUUCCGAAGCAACGAGCAAGUUGGUUAGGGAUUGGAACCCCAACAACUGUUCGCCCAAAUAGGUUUUCUGAGCGGUUGAAUUUUCAGAUCAAGAGUGUAAAUACAGAAAGGUCCAGCCAAUCUGAAGUACAAAGUUAGUGUGAUCAAACGAAACAGUUUGGAAGCCCAAGGCUGGAGCUGCACUGUGGCAUUACCUGCAGCGAGGCAGGCGAGAGAGCUCUUCCUCAUGGUAGCCUGGACUGACAAGAGAAAUGAAUCCAGUGUGAGACUGUGGCAGUCAGAGCAAGCAGCAGCUCGAGGGGCCUGUCAGUGUCUCUGCGUCCAGAGACCUCCAGAAACUUACCGUUAGGCCCAUCUGCUGGCGUCCAGGCGCAUUCCAAGUCCCUGCCAAGCUUCAGAGACUCCAGAUAGUUCUGCAGAAAUACUAACGUGACGGUUUCCCUCGGGACUGCGAAAGAACGGACUUCAGCUCUGGAAAUCCUCCAAGUAAAUGCCCAGCCUACAAGUUCAAGUGCGCUGAGGGGUACCCAUGCCAAUCUGGUAAUUCAAUGCCUUCUCAGCACAGUUCCAGGACUGCUUAUGGCUCUGGUUUUUCUGCCUUCAUUCUCCAAGAAGCAGGUCCUAAUAUACAAUAGACUUUAGGAAUCAGAACGCUUUUGUUCACAUAUUUUUACGGAACAAAAUUUCAUAACAUAGCUGGCAAGAUGGCUCAGCAGGUAAGAGCACUUCCUGGUGACCUGAGUUCAAUGCCCAGGGUACACAUGAAAGAAGGAGAGAACCAAACCCAACAAGCUGUCCUCUGACAUCCGCACUCACAGGUGGCACCGUGUAGUCCCCUCCCCAAACACACGAAGUGAUUAGAUACUUUUAAAAACUCAUAGUUAUUGGAACUUUGAAACUUUGAAGCAUCUCAUUAAGGAAUGAUUUUGCCUGUGUUUUAGGAGGAACUCACAAAAUCUUCCUACCUUUCAUUCUGUUUUAAUCUGUACCAAUUGCUCUAGUCUCUCCUUUUUAUCAAAAGCACAGGAUCAGAUGAGCAUAGCAGAUGAGCAGAUGUGUGCAACGACCAUUGGAGAAUUCAGUAGUAUUCAAAUUCAUGUAAUGUUCAAUUGAUGGUCACGUAAGGCAGUGUAGAAAAAAGAAUAAAUGAUAAGAAAGAUAAAAACAGUUUAUGAAUGAUGGGUAGUAAUACUUCUUUUUUCAUAUUCUUUGUGCUAAUAUUCUUCCAAGUUUCUUGAGUUAAAAGCAAUAUACUAUAUAUUAUAUAUUACAUUAUAUGUUAUAUAGAUAAUAUAUUUAUGUCCCUUGGAAACCUACUUUGAUGACUUUAGCCUUAGAAUUACAUCGGCAAUGAAGCACAUUGCUAUAUCCAAUGAGUGGUGGCCUCAAGGUCCAGGUUUCUUCAGUCUCCUGUUCUUUUUUCUAACUUUCAAACUGCCUCUGUAACUGAAAACUUUAGUUAAAGAACAGAUAAACAGCAACAUAGUGUCAGCAAAAUUUUAUCUGAAUUCAAAUUCUUCUUAAAACCAUAAGACUCUUCCCUGGUUAUUUCAAGAAUGUUAGAAAUCUAAAGCGAGAAGCCAUCAUUUCAAUAUGAUAAUCUGUUUACAGAUGUUUUUUAAACAUAUCAGAAGCCAACUUCAAUAUGAACUAUGCAGUUCGUUGAAUCAUAAGUUGCUAUUGACUUGGGUUUUCAUUUUCAAUUCAUUGCAGAAACUAAGAAAUGCCACAGGCUUGCUAAACAGCAUAACAUAAUGUGUCCACUUGUGGGUUAGUGACAGUGAUUUUCAACGAUGAGGACCUAUAGUAUGACACACAAUACUAACAAUUCAGAAUACAUACAGUUGAGAAGGCAAUUCUUUGACAAAGGUGCUCACACUGUUAACAGAGUCACUUUGUAGCUGGACAACCUGGAGAGUGGGCACUGUUCACUCUCCUUGUGAACACAAUAUAAAUACCACCUCAAGCAUUGUGCACAAGUGCCAUUUCUUCUUAACAUAGUUUAUAAGUGACACUUGGUUGAAGAACUCAUGGGAGUAGCAGGUGUGGUAUUUUCAGAUAAGAGCAUGGUAAUUAGCUACUAAUCCAUUCCACCUGGCUAGAGGCGUCAGGCUGUUCUCUAGCAACGUUUUCCAGGAGAACGGUCUGAGGGUUUGUACACACGGUGUGGAGAUAUGCCUGGCUUUGUCACCAUUUCUUUGCAAGGAUUUCAUAUUUUAAUGUGUACACAUCCAAAGAAUUGCGAUCUGAGAAAAUAAGUCUAGAUAAACUCCCUUAAAACUUAAUGAUUGUUACAUGUUUUAUAAACAUUAAGAUAUUUAACUGAUCCUAGACACAACUGUCAUGAGUUACCUCAUAACUGUCAGGAUAGUUGCUGAGUGGAAAGAAGGAAGAUGACUCACUUACAGUGGGAAACAUAGGAGAUAUCCUUAAAAGUUAAAUAUAACAUUACCAGACAGCCCAGCUAUUCCACUUCCUUCUAAAAAAUCCAAAAAAAAACCAAACAAACAAACAAACAAAAAACAAAAUUAAAGCAAUAAAAUGAAAGCACACCAAAGCAAUGUUUACCUGUUCAUAGCCACAAGACCAUUAUUAACAACACACAAGAGGUGGGAAUAAGACUGUCUGUGGAUGGGUGAGAAGUUAAAACAUAAAGUGGCUUACAAAUACGGUAUUUUUCACCCUGAAAAAUAAGAAUGCUUAUUGCAUGCACAAACAUGGACGAACCUUGAGGACGUAAGGCUGAGUAAAGACAGCUGCAAAAACACAAAUACUAUAUGACCCAAAGCAGAUGUCCCAUCCAGGAUAGUCAAAUUCAUAAAAAAGUAAGUAGAAUGGUAUUUGCUGAAAAUAAAAUAAAGGGGCAAUGAGGGUUGUUUUUAAUGGGUAUGUGGAAGUGUGCAAGAAGAAAAAGUUCUGAGAUUGCAGAACAAUGGGGAUUACUUAAACACUGAACUUAAACUUGUACUUAAACAUGGGUAAGACAGUAAUUAUGUUACAUAUAUAUGUAUAUAUAUAUAUAUAUAUAUAUAUACAGUUAAAAUGUAUGUACAUAUUUACACACAUAUAGUUCCAAUUUUAUAUGCUGUAUCUUGAAAUCUUAACUGAGAAUUCCUGAUUUUGAAAUUGUUUAAUAAUUAGUGUCAUGGCUGGGGAAAAAAAACCAUAAAGCAGAAAUUUUAUCUGACCCAGAGUGCCCUUGUCUCUCAUCUGAUUCUCAAAAGGAAAGUUUUCAGAAGAGGCAAGAAGCUGUAAUUUCAAAGUUUCCCUGGGUAGAAUGCAAGAGCUUUCCUUCUUUCAUAACCCACUGAGUGAAACUCAUUUUAACUUUAAAAUUAUUCAAUGAAUUUAGCUUCUUUAAAGAAACAUCCCUAGGGCAGAAAGAAUGAAAGAGCCAGAGUGGAUGGAGGACAUGAAGGAAACAAAACCGUCCAGCCAAUGCCUGGCCCAACCCGAGGCCCACCCCACGGGAGAAAGCCAGCCCUGAGGCUAUCAGAGGUCCUCUGUGAUGCUUGCAGACAGGAGCCUAGCACAGCUGUCCUCUGAGGAGAGGAGGGAGGGGGCUGGAUCUGGAUGUAAAGUUAAUUAAUUAAUUAAAAGGCACAGAGGAUGGACACGCACAUGAGCUCACACACUGUGUCUGUAUGUACAGGGCCUGCAGGGGUGGGUGUGCUGCACGUGGAUCCCAUGCUGAGAGAAGUGCCCACACCUCCACAUCCCUAACCCUCAUCCUAGCUUCAGCUGAUAAACACCUGUGAAUGAAAAAUUAGUUUUCUGCAAGGAAGUCUCACUGGAAAAACAAACCACUCUUAAGGGUAGGCCACAUGCCAGCAUAUAUUUUAUGGCUUCUGGUUUCAAGUUUUUACGGGAUUCCAGUAUAUGCAAAUGUGUGUGUCUCUCCAUUUAUGCUUCUUGUAAUUUUUAUCUGGCUUUUUCCCUUCUGUUUGUGUUUUUUCCUAUCCUAGCUUUUUUUUUUUAAUUUUUGUUUCAUUAUUUUAUUUUUUAUUAUUAUUCUUUAGAUGCUGUUUGUUUUCUAAAGAGAGACAGAAAGUGUGGAUCCAGAUGGGAGAGGAGGUUGGGGGCCUUGGCAGUGAAGAGGAAGCAUACAUCAGAAUAUAUGGUAUGAAAAAAAUACAUUUCCAAUAAAAGAAAAAAUAGAUGUAGUGCCCGAGCAAUAUCAAAGCAUACAAUACUCAGCGUCUCACAACACACAGCCUCGCCUUUCCAGGCUGUCAGGUUUCCUUGUGUUCCUGGUGUGUGGGCAGGUUAAAAGAUCAUCGUUUUGGAUGAGAAACACAAAACUCUCUUCAUUUUCUACUGCCACAGAUGCUCUUGAAAAGCAAACAUUCGUAAUACUGGGUUUUUCAUAUCAAAGAGGAAGUAGACAAAGCAUCAGAAAAAUUUAGAGACAAGGAUUUACUUGAGGAAAUUAAGAACUGCUGAUUCUGAGCUUCCAGAUAUCCAAGCUAAAAGGGGAAAAUGUGUUGGAUAUCUUUGGCUAAUAGAAUAAAAAAGGCAAACAAGCAAUGUUGUCAUUUAGAUCUGGGUGUUGAUUAUUCUGCCACAUUCUACAUGUCCUGUGUAUGUGGUCUGUCUUCUCAUGCUGAGAAUAUCUCAUCUGAGAACAUCUUCCUGGUUUUCCUGGUUCAUCUUUAAGUCCGUAUGUUCUUGUAAAUGAUUUUUCUAUUCUUAUCUACUCUACUCUAAUUCUUCCAUCUGUUGUAGCUCCUUACUAGCCACAACUUCUUAGUGUCUAGGUGCACCACAGGUGACCUUGUGAGCACUGUUUCUAACCUUGACAAUCCCCUCAAAAUAUCUCAUCAUCUUUACUUUAAACAGGAAGUCUAUGACCCAAUUCGUAUUGCCGCCCCCUCCAUUAAAGCCCAAUAAUUGCUUUGCACUAGCCACUUGCACUGAAGUAUGCUUCCUCCGGAGCUUUCUGAAAGCACUUUGUUCAUUUUCAUGUUUUGCUUUUCUGAUCAUGUGCCUACUCGACGUAAAUGAGAAGAUGCUAGGAUGCUGUCAUUCUGCUCUGCAGUGUAUCAGCUCCUAGAACAAUGCCCUCAGCUACCACCAAUGCCAGAAGCUAUCAGAUGCAUGAUUGCCUGCAUCAAGCAGUGAAUAAAGUCCUUUAAAAAAUACAGCACACGACCCCUGACUUUUCUACCCCAGGCUUUUCCUGCCCCGUUUUGAUAGACAUCACUCUACUGGAAAUUGUAGACACCGAAAUACAGUUUUAAAAGGUAAACGCUAUUAACGACUUAGGAUUCCCUGCCCUUUAACACAGAAAACACAAUUCAAAGGUUACAUAAUAUAGAGAAAGAUACUUAUUGUAAUGAAUUAGCUGGAAACAUAGUUAGGCUGGCAAGGUCAAGGUCUGCAGAGCAGAGUAACAGCCGAAGGCCAGCAUGCAAGGUUGAGAAGACAGCCUUUUCAGGCUCAGACUUCUUAACUCCGGUCUUCAGCUCACUGAAGGAGCCCACGUGCAAUACGGAGGGCACAGGGACUGACUCAAGUGCACAGGCUUAAAUGCAAGUUUCACCCAGAAAUAACCUCACAUGUACACCUGAAUGUUAGAUUCACCUUAACAAAAUAACUUAACUCUGAAGGCCUUCUGAAAUGUAAAAGCUUAGCUGUUCAGUGGACAUUCCAUGCACAGCUGUUUGUUUCCCAUAAGUCUUAGGGAGGGGAGUGAGGUGAAUGGACUGCCAUAAUGACUGGGUUUACUCACAUACAUGCUGUAUAGAUGUGUACAAAACCACAUUGAAACUUUCAUGUGUAACAUGAAAAGAACCCACCCCCCGUCUUUGCACUCAGUGCCACAAUGCUUAUUUGUGGGUUCAAUAUUUUUCUUAAUCAGGCUCCAUUCUCUCUUAUGAGGAUGGCACUCUGCCAGGGAACAGAAGAAUGUAUCAGAACCUUUUUAAUCUAGAUGAGGAAUUGCAAUGCCCAGAGCCUCAGUUUCUUCAUUUCUGAAACUAGUGGAAUAGCUUUGAUGAUGUCACAAUGGGAUGGUGAUGUGACUGACAGGAUAAAAUGAAGCUUCAAGGGCAACUGGUGAGGAAAUUCAGAGAAAGAGAGUUACACAAAGCAGGAGAUAACAGUGAAUUUAAGAGGCAGAAAUGGCUUUGUGUACUCUCACCUCCCACUGGAAUAGCACAACCUGAAUAGAAUAAGAACAUAAUCGGGUGGUUGAAGGUUGCUCUACCAUUGGCAAAGGACACACACAACACACAACACAGCACAACACAACACAAAACAAACAACACCCUACUACCCUACCUGCUGGUCUGGAAACCCUGGCUUCAUUCCUGACUCCUUAGUAGGUGCAAAUAGCUAGCCAAAAACAAACAACAACAACAACAACAAAAAAUUAUCACCUUUUUGAGUAUUUACAUAGGGUGGGAUGAAGUGAGGUUCUUUCAUGCAGGACCAGGCUUCAGAAGACCCAGGCUUCAAACUCAGGGAGGAUGCCUUCUGCAAGCAGUGUUUACAAAUAUCCAAUAGGAAGAUGCCUUGAACAUAACUGGCAUUGGUCGUAUUACUAUAGAUAUAUUACUGAAUGGCACUUAUUGAAACAUUCUUUGUGAUGGAUUCUCAGUAUUGCUGUAACAGACACUAUUAUUAUUCUGUAUAUCACUAAUGUUAUUCAUUGUACUCUGCACAGUAUAUAUUUAGAGUUUUAAUAUUCCCAAUCUUUUGCACCUUCACAAUGUUCGGCUGUUGGUAUAAUGUUCUUGAGGAAUGUAUACAAUUUACCCUUGUUUAUUCAAAUACUGAAUUCUUUACUCCACUAUCUGGUUUCAAUCUGGACAUUGCAUUGUGAUGCUUAUUCUAAGUAUCACCUGUCUCAAGUUUGUGUAAACAUGCCACCAUUUGUUCUCUGUAUUGUCAAUAAAACAACCAGCCAAUGCUGAACAAUGGAGAGAAUAGGGUGAGAAAUCCUGGUCUGGAGGGGAGGAGAAGAAAGUAGGGUGGGAGAAGUCAGAGAGGAGAGAUUGGGAGGAUAGGACUUGGAACCAAGAGGAGAGAUGAACUGGACCUAAGAUAUGACUAAAGAGCAAGUAUAAUGUGGAAAAUCUGAAUGGUAGGAAACUAUGAGGGCUUGGAGGUUAGGAUGGAGUAACUAUUGCCCAGCAUUGUGUUCUAGGUUAAUUAAAUAAACCCUAGUCUUUGUGUGGUGAUUUGGGUAUACAGCUAGUUUAGGAAUAACUGCUGCUUAACUAAAAGAUAAAUCAAUAUUAAAUAUUUAUAAACAACAACACUCCACAUUUCUAAAUGGAACACUCUUCACUUUUGCAUGCCACUGAUGUUGGCAGUUACAGAAUAUUUUACCACUGUAUACCCAGAAGCAGAACUAACAGCUUUGAAGUCGAUGGCUUGCAUAUUUGAUUGGCUUUAGAACAAUAUUUCUCUUUGUUCUUUUCAUAUUAAAAAUAUCAAAUCAUACUAUUUCUGAACACAAAAGCUACAUGUCAAGCAGCAUUGUGUCAAACAUGAAAAGAUGUAAAACUUUCAGCUCUAUGCUUGAACACGCAUGACUUUAAUGCUUUCUUACAUAUAAUGCCAAGUUUGUGCUCUCCACACUUUCCAUGUGAAAGAUCUGUUUCAGCCAACCACUCCACCCGCUGGAGCCCUUCACUGCAUUGGUGUGGUAGAAAUCUGAUACCUAUUUGUAAAAUGGAUGAAAGAUGAAUAUGAGCCAUAUGUGAAAUCAUUUAAUGUCAGCCGUGUAUUCGUAUCACUAGACCAUCAAAAGGAAUAUAGUUAUUUUUUUUAAUUAUCUCUGUGGAAUGUUUAAACCAAAAGAUUUCAGUGGAUGUUCCAUUCUGCUGUGCUUUUGAUUUCUUAGGGCACUUACCAACUCACCAAAUGCUUUCAAUGAAAAUGUUUGCUUUUUUUUUCUUUUGGACAUUUUUUUCUUAUCACCUUCAGGGAAUAGAAUGCCAGCCUGACUCUCUCUGACAGAUCUACCAUGGCAUGUCUACUCUGAUAGAAAAUUCUCCUCCCUGAAGGCUUUGCCUCUCCUGCAAUGAAGACUCCUGAAUACAUGCUGUCAUCAGCAGCUGUGCCUAAGUGUAGACACACAGACGAUCUUGAGCUUUUUUUUUUUACUCUAGAAACCCAAGAAGAUUCUUUAGAUCAGCAGCUUCACCAAAAACAGCAAUCUUUCCCCUAUUUACGGAGGCUGCCCCGUCAUUGUGAUUUUCUUACUUUUUCUUCCUCUCUAUUAAAAAGCAACUGAUUUACUCUUAUAUUUUCAAGGAUGUGUUCAAGUGAUAGAGAUUUUAAAAACUAUGUCACAGGAUUUGACAACAACAGAAGGACAUGUGACUAGAUUAUUUAAAGAGAGAGAAAAGGCAAGCAAGACAGGGAAGGAAAGGUGAAGGAGUAGUGGGUGAUAGACAGGAGUAAGGUGCUUUAAGUACAUCUACCUAUACACUUAUGAAAUAAUCACACCUCGUGAUUAGUAGAAUUAAUACGUUCUAGUGAGAAUGAGUGGGAAACAGUAGGAUGGGAAUAAGAGAUGGUUGACUUUGUGAUGCAGACACGAGUGCCCCAGUCGAUUGCUGAGUAGCCCACAGUGAUCUGGCAGUCCCCAUUUUAGGGGUGCAAUGAGGAGCAGUAAGGAGUCCAUCAACGGCUUAAUUCUGACUAUGCAAUUUUCUCUAAAGCAUUUAUGUAUUUCUUGUUUCAGGGAUAGUAUAUUUAUUAUAGAGAUAUAAAAAUAUACACAUAAUGUACCACUUAGAAAAUUACUACAAAAAUUUUAAACAUUUGUGCAAUAUUUCUAAGUCAAUAGUCUCUCAUGAGCUAGAGGAAUGGCUUAUCACUGAGGAACGCUUGCUACUUAAAUACUGGCACUUCUCUGCUUGCUCCCCUUACAUAAUUAAAUAAUGUAUGUCAAUAAAAGAACUCUUUAGCUACCACAGCCUUUUAUGAAUGGACCAGUACAACAUAACUCUUUGAAGCACAGUUUAUGUUAGUUAGUAACUAAUAAUGUGUAUAUCAUAUAAACAUAGGACAGAAUACAUAUAGAAUGUGACAUUAUAUUUUAUAACUCUUAAGUAUUUGUAUAAAUUUAGAAUCUUUAGGAAUAGUACCUGGAUGUCAUUCUUUGAAUACACAAAAGAUGGAUUUUAACAAAUAAUUAUAAUCUGUAAAAACAUUCAUAUGUAAAUUAUGUAGCUAUUUAAGUAGUUAUUUGCCAUCACAUGUUCUAGUGCUGUCUCAGCUGUUUCCAAAUGAGGAUACAUCAGGAUGGGAAGAAUAGAGACACUGAAAAUUAGCUCUGUAGUCUAAGUCACAAUAUAACUGAGGAUGGAAAACUCACAACUGUAACCCGAGUCUGCCCUGCAUUCUGUAGUACUUUCUGGUACCUUAGGAGAGAAUAGUUAUAUAAGUCUAAGUCAUGGUUGGAGGAUAUACUUUUCUUCUGAAAUGUAUUUUCCUUGAGGAAAACAUCAAAUUUCAAAUAUUUAAUAUGAAAUAUAUGAUAUCAAAUUAAAUAUAUUUUC